GAUGAACGCUGGCGGCGUGCCUAAUACAUGCAAGUCGAGCGAACAGACGAGGAGCUUGCUUCUCUGACGUUAGCGGCGCGCGGGAGAGAAACACGUGGAAAACCUAUCUAUAAGACUGAGAUCACUUCGAGAAAACGGCGCAAAUCGCGGAAACUAUCUUGAACCGAAUGGUUAAAUAGUGAAAGACGGAUUUGCUGUCACUUAUAGAUGGAUCCGCGCCGCAUUAGCUAGUUGGGAAGGUAACGGCAUACCAAGGCAACGAAGCGUAGCCGACCUGAGAGGGUGGACCGCCAGCCUGGAUCUGAGGCUCGGCCCAGACAUCGACGGUGAGCCGCAGUAGAGAAUCUUACGCAAGGGGCGAGUGCCUGACGGAGCAACGUCGCGGGAGUGCUGAAGGUCUGCCGAUCGUUAAACUCUGAUAUUAGGGAAGAAGAAAUGUGUAAUUGACUAGGAAGGUCUUGACGGUACCUAAUCAGAAAGCCACGGCUAACUACGUG
rnacentral:rRNA from 1 species